rnacentral:rRNA from 1 species
AUGGGUGCUCGAAAGCAAAAGUGGACUUCAGAGGAAGAGGCUGCUCUUAGAGCUGGCAUAGCAAGGUAUGGAGUGGGAAGUUGGCGCCUGAUAUUGAAAGAUGAUGACUUCCGUUCCAUCUUGAGCUGCCGGUCAAAUGUUGAUCUAAAGGACAAGUGGCGCAACAUCAACGUAUUUUUCACCGAAUCAGGCUCUAUGGAUAAGGGAAGGACUGCCAUGAAGAAGAACCGAGCUGCUCCUAGGAGGAAUGAUCACCCAGUGGCAAACAGCACAGUUGCUUCUGAUGUUGAUGACGAAAUUGUUGAUGAACAGCCUAUAGCAUCAAUGUCAAGUGAACUGUGGAAUGUUUCAAUUCCAAAGAAAUCACGGUCAAGGCUAAACAAUAUCAUAUUGGAAUCUGUCAAGAACUUGAAUGAGCCUACAGGGUCACAUAGCACUACGAUUGCUAAGUACAUAGAGGAGGAAUAUUGGCCACCUAGUGAUUUUGAUCGCAUGUUGUCUGCAAACCUGAAGGACUUGACCACCAGUGGAGAACUGAUAGAGGUAAAUCGCAAGUACAGGAUUGCACCUGCACCUGGUUCAAUGUACUCUGAGGGACGAAGCCCCGAAACACUGCUGCUAGAAGACAUGCAAAGAGAGCCCCAGAAAAUAGAGAGUGAUGAUAUUAAAACCCUUACAAAAUCUCAAGUUGAUGCUGAAUUGGCGGAUAUGAUAACCAUGACUGCCGAAGAGGCUGCAUCCGCUGCUGCUCGUGCAAUUGCAGAGGCAGAGGCUCUCAUGGCAGAAGCUGAAGCAGCGACAAGAGAUGCGGAGGCGGCAGAAGCAGAUGCCCAAGCUGCACAAGCUUUCGCGGAAGCAGUAAGGAACAGAAACGUUACAGAACUGAUGGCCCAGUCUUGA